CCUCUUCAUCUUCCCCCUUCAUCCUCAUCCUCCCCCCCUUUCACCCUCUCCACCCCCCUUCAUCCUUCCCCUCCCUCCUCAUCCUCCCCCCCCCCCCCUCACCCACCCCCCCGGCCCCAUUCCGACCCCGCGGCCAUAAAUCAGAGCUCAGUGGGACGCAGCCAUAUGGGAUCGGCGCGGAGCAACGCCGUCCUGAUGGGUUCCGGCGGCGGAGCGACGCUCCAUCAAAUCCAUGGAGGGGAUCCCGGACGAGAGAGUGACCCGAACCCACGGAGCCCUCAGCGGGACCCCCCCCCCAAAUGGAACCCACCCUGGGAUCGCCCCAUGGAGCCCCCGGGACCCUCCGGCGGACCCCCCCCCCCAUCCAUGGAACCUCCCGACGGAUCCCCCCCCCCCCAUGGACCUCUCCCCCCCCCCCCGGGGGGGGCGCACGAGAAGUUUGAGAGGAGCGGCUGCAGAGAGGUCCUGGCAGGUCACAGCAGCGAUCUGAGCCCCCCCCAGGAGCGAUCUGAGCCCCCCAGCAGCGAUCUGAGCCCCCCCAGCAGCGAUCUGAGCCCCCCAGGAGCGGUCUGAGACCAAAACGAGCAUCCCCGGGGGGGUCCCCCCGGCCGCAGCAAUUCCCAUCCGCGGGAGGAAGGAGAGGCCGAGAGAGGGGGAAGAUUGAAUUGAAGCCCCGGGGCCAUUAACCCGCUGCCCUGGCCCAACUCCAGCUGCAGUAAUUACAUUCGCCCUGAUUAAAAAUUUCCCCUUCGUUUUCAAUUAGCUCCGCCGUCCUUCUUCGCUUCCCUCCUCCCCAACCACAGCGCUGUGCGGCUCCGCAGUGCGGCUGCUCUGCAAAGGGGAAACUGAGGCACGGGGGGCUGGGGGGGGGGGGGGGGAGGGGGGGGGGGCGUUGUGGCACCUGUGGGGCACAGUGGGGCACUGCAUGGGGGGCGAUCAUAGCGCCUAUGGGGUAUUGCUCUACACUGGGGCUCCUAUGGGGCAUCGCAUGGGGGUGUUGAUGGUGCCUAUGGGGCACCUAUGGGGUAUUGCACUACACUGGGGCUCCUAUGGGGCAUCGCAUGGGGGUGUCCAUGGCAUCUAUGGGGCACCUAUGGGGUAUUGCAUGGAGGUGUUCUAGCGCCUAUGGGGCAUCUAUGGGGUAUUGCACUACAGUGGGGCUCCUAUGGGGCAUCGCAUGGGGGUGUCCAUGGCAUCUAUGGGGCACCUAUGGGGUAUUGCAUGGGGGUGUUCUAGCGCCUAUGGG
rnacentral:lncRNA from 1 species